UACGAAGGGGGGCUAGCGUUGUUCGGAUUUACUGGGCGUAAAGCGCACGUAGGCGGAUCGUUAAGUCAGGGGUGAAAUCCUGGAGCUCAACUCCAGAACUGCCUUUGAUACUGGCGAUCUUGAGUCCGGAAGAGGUGAGUGGAACUCCUAGUGUAGAGGUGGAAUUCGUAGAUAUUAGGAAGAACACCAGUGGCGAAGGCGGCUCACUGGUCCGGUACUGACGCUGAAGUGCGAAAGCGUGGGGAGCAAACAGG
rnacentral:rRNA from 1 species